rnacentral:lncRNA from 1 species
CCCGCCGCGCGACGCGGCGCCAACGCUCUGGUGCCGGUGUGUCUUUUCACUUUUGUGAGCCUGGCAUUUUCUUUGCUCUCCAGGUUAUGCCAAGACAGAAGGAGGGACUUGGAGAGGGAGGAUUAACCUUUCGCUGGCCACGAUUCCCUCCCUCUUAUCGCGGAGGCUUCGGCAAGGCGCCCCCCCCCAGCCAGCCUAUCUGUCUGAAUUGCUGAAAGCAUAAUGCUCCCAUAUGAGAGAUAAAACUUAGAAGCCUGAUGCCGCUGAAGCCACAAAUGCGGAGACAGCAGGGAUGGCAGCAAUGUGGGACUCUACAGUGCACCACAGUCGCCUUCCAGUUGGGCUGGUUUGCAGGAAAUCAGGAAAGAGAGACAUGCACUGUGCAUGACAGCACUCUGCAGUGGGAGAAGUGA